GACGAACGCUGGCGGCGUGCCUAAUACAUGCAAGUUGAGCGAUGAAGAUUGGUGCUUGCACCAAUUUGAAGAGCAGCGAACGGGUGAGUAACGCGUGGGGAAUCUGCCUUUGAGCGGGGGACAACAUUUGGAAACGAAUGCUAAUACCACAUAAUAACUUUAAACAUAAGUUUUAAGUUUGAAAGAUGCAAUUGCAUCACUCAAAGAUGAUCCCGCGUUGUAUUAGCUAGUUGGUGAGGUAAAGGCUCACCAAGGCGAUGAUACAUAGCCGACCUGAGAGGGUGAUCGGCCACAUUGGGACUGAGACACGGCCCAAACUCCUACGGGAGGCAGCAGUAGGGAAUCUUCGGCAAUGGACGAAAGUCUGACCGAGCAACGCCGCGUGAGUGAAGAAGGUUUUCGGAUCGUAAAACUCUGUUGGUAGAGAAGAACGUUGGUGAGAGUGGAAAGCUCAUCAAGUGACGGUAACUACCCAGAAAGGGACGGCUAACUACGUG
rnacentral:rRNA from 1 species